CGGGAGGCAGCAGUGGGGAAUAUUGGACAAUGGGCGAAAGCCUGAUCCAGCCAUACCGCGUGUGUGAAGAAGGCCCUAGGGUUGUAAAGCACUUUAAGUUGGGAAGAAAAGUUAUUGGUUAAUACCCAAUGACCGUGACAUUACCAUCAGAAUAAGGACCGGCUAAUUCCGUGCCAGCAGCCGCGGUAAUACGGAAGGUCCAAGCGUUAAUCGGAAUUACUGGGCGUAAAGCGCGCGUAGGUGGUUUAUUAAGUUGGGUGUGAAAUCCCCGGGCUCAACCUGGGAACUGCAUCCAAAACUGAUUCACUAGAGUACGAUAGAGGGAGGUAGAAUUCACAGUGUAGCGGUGGAAUGCGUAGAUAUUGUGAAGAAUACCAAUGGCGAAGGCAGCCUCCUGGAUCUGUACUGACACUGAGGUGCGAAAGCGUGGGUAGCGAACAGGAUUAGAUACCCUGGUAGUCCACGCCGUAAACGAUGUCAACUAUCUGUUGGAAAGCAUUGCUUUUCAGUGGAGCAGCUAACGUAAUAAGUUGACCGCCUGGGGAGUACGGCCGCAAGGCUAAAACUCAAAUGAAUUGACGGGGACCCGCACAAGCGGUGGAGCAUGUGGUUUAAUUCGAUGCAACGCGAAAAACCUUACCUAUGCUUGACAUACUUGGAAUACUUUGUAAUGAAGUAGUGCCUUCGGGAGCCAGGAUACAGGUGCUGCAUGGCUGUCGUCAGCUCGUGUCGUGAGAUGUUCCGUUAAGUCGGAUAACGAGCGCAACCCUUACCCUUAUUUGCCAGCGAUUCGGUCGGGAACUAUAAGGGGACUGCCGGUGAUAAACCGGAGGAAGGUGAGGACGACGUCAAGUCAUCAUGGCCCUUACGCAUAGGGCUACACACGUGCUACAAUGGAGAAUACAGACGGACGCUAAGCCGCGAGGUGGUGCCAAUCCUAGAAAAUUCUUCGUAGUCCGGAUUGGAGUCUGCAACUCGACUCCAUGAAGUCGGAAUCGCUAGUAAUCGCGAAUCAGCAUGUCGCGGUGAAUACGUUCUCGGGUCUUGUACACACCGCCCGUCAUACCAUGGAAGUGGAUUGCACCAGAAGUAGAUAGUCUAACCUUAGGGAGGGCGUUUACCACGGUGUGCUUCAUGACUGGGGUAAAGUCGUAACAAGGUAGCCGUCCCU
rnacentral:rRNA from 1 species